rnacentral:lncRNA from 1 species
GUUAGAGAAAAAAGUAUUAUAAAAGAGGUGUUAUGGUUGUGAUUUGGUUCAUUGCAACAUUAAUAAAAUCGGUGGUUACGAUAAGGAAGAUGGCAUAUCCACGCGGGAAUCUUCCUGACAUACCUAUCCCGAAGUCUGGCAUCCCUAGCUCUCGUCCUAGGCCGCCACCAAGAGACACACCUGUGCAAAUUCAGAAUGAGCCUUCCAUCCGUAUCCCGGUGCCUGGAACCGCUCGCCCUCGUCCUAGGCCGCCACCAACACACUAGGUGCCCUAGGCUUACCCUACCACUAUUUUCUCAUCUUCAUACAAAUAAACAUCUUCACUUCUUUCUCUUCCAUAAGAAGAUUGUCUCAACAAUUUUUGUAAUCUCUUUUGUUUGUUUUAUUGUUUGAUGAUUUGUAAGAUUUAAAUUAUUUUUAUUUAUGAGAAGCUUUUUAUCAAGAGAAUGCUUGCUUCCAUACCAAAACUAACCAACUAAUUACCAAAUUUCAAUUUCAUAUCAUCCUGUAGAAAUAUAAUUAAAGUGAUAAUCAAUUUAUAAAUUACUAAUUUUUGGUUAAUCUCAAUGUGCUUAUAGGUUUAAUAGCUGAUUAAAUCAGUAAGUUAUAUUACCCUCUUCAUGGUACACACAUACUUGUUUCUUCCUUCAUAAAAGUGAGAAGGGUUGGUUGAUUACUUUCUAAGGCUAAGGUUUUGUAUGUAACAGAAAAGGUGGUUGUUUUGUUCUAGCUUUUAAAUUUUUCACAUACAAAAACUUCCCUUGAUCACUUCCAUGCCAUUCAUGCUUAAUGGAUUGUCAAAAAUUGAACACAAAACCAAUGACUAAUUCACUUGGGUGCUUUAUUCAUUUUUCCAAUUUAUGUUGCUCAGUCUCCUCUUAUGAACCAACCUCAGUGUUGGUGUUGUUGCUUAGGUCCUCCUAUUUUGGUUGUUAUUGGAAGGGACUGUCCCCAAGCCACCGUUUUUUAACACCUCCUCCUUGAUAGUCUCAUCGUGAAUUUCUCAGGGGUCAUACAUUAUAGUGGUUAGUGCUGUUGUUGUUCUUACUAGCUUGUUGCACAUAUGAUACUCGUACCUUUAAAGACUGCAGAGCUUCCUCUUGCUAAGAUUAGUGGGAAUUUUCACUUCUUACAUCAUGCACAAUCCAGUUAUCAAGCUUCAAAAGGAUAAGGACUUUGCAGUACCCCUUGAAGUUGCUUUGAGGUGGCUAUCUUGAAGAUUUGUUAGUGAUCAGGUCUGCCACAUACAUCAAAUAGUCAUGCAUGAUGUAAUAAAUCAGUUGUGCCUUGUCCAUGGUCAAGUAGUAGACAUGAGAGUUUGGGGUCCUGACAAUACAAAUGUGACCCAAAUUUGUCAAUUCCAUCAAAUAGCCAUUUUUUUCUUACAUAGCACAAAUUCCUUUUACAUUUACUAAGAUAGCAUACUCCGUGUUUUAUUUACCCGAAUAACACACCUUUUUGUUAGGUUAAAAUUUAGUUUCUGAAAAACCGAAUUCUAAGUUAUAAUUUUUUUUUUUAUAAUGUUAGGUUAGAAUUUGAUUUCUGGAAAACUGAAUUCCGAAUUAAAUAUAUUUUUUUAAUAUUUUUAAGUUUUAGAAUUCGGGUUUUGGGAAACCGAAUUCUAAGUUUUUUUUUUUAAUCUUAGCUUAGAAUUUUAUAUUUGAAUUUUUUUAAGACUUUUAUUUUUUAAGCAUUUAUAGAAAAGCACUUAAAUGAUCUUUUUCCUCAACAAUUUAAAGGCCUAAUGCGAUUAUUGGUGCACUAAACACCACCAAUGACCAUUAAACUCACUCACCCAUCUAAAAUGUGAAAUAUGAAACAAUAACUUCAAAGUAAACUUAUUUAGGAAGCUUAGAAAAACGUUUUUUGGGGAAAUUAACUACAUCUAAUACAAUGGUCUAAAAAUUAUGGGUUGAUAGUCAUUUGAAAGCUCUUUGAGUCUACAUUCCAACAAAAAAAGAAUCAACUCAUUUGGAGUUCGGUGGAGAAAAUUAUGAGCAAAACAACCACCAAAGGUCAGAGGUCGCAGGAAUAUAUAAAGCGUUAACUUUGAGGAAUUAACUGCACCUAAUCAGAUGUCCAAAAUUUACAGAUGAGUACUCAUUGGAAAGCUUCUUGAGUCAAGCUUCUAAUAAAAAAAGAAUCACAUCAUUUGGAGGUCGGUGGGAAAAGUUAUCAUUAAAAUAGUCAGCAAAGAUCAAAGAUGAUACCAACAUUGGGUCUUUCCUCCACCAAGGACCGCCCAAAACUCAGUUUUCAGGCUCUACUCAUACUUAAACAUUAAAAAGAACUCUCAUCUGUUUAAGAAAUAUGAAAAAAUUAUGUAAAAUGGUCUUUGGUUACUUAUGUGCCCAGAACUGGCCCCUGCAACACAAGUUUUUGUACGAAACGAAUUUUUUUUUCGUGUAAUGGUUUACAGGGUCCUUGUAAUCGAUUACAAUGGAAAAAAAGGCCUACACUUGAUUACCAAGACAUAAAUUGAAAGCUCUUUGAGUCUAGAUUCCAACAAAACAAGAAUCAACUCAUUUGGAGUUUGGUGGAGAAAGUUAUGAGGAAAACAACCACCAAAGGUCAGAGUUGGCAAGAAUAUAUAAAGCGUUAACUUUGAGGAAUUAACUGCACCUACUCAGAUGUCAAAAAAUUACAAAUCAGUAGUCAUUGGAAAGCUUAUUGAGUCUAGUUUCUAAUAAAAAAAAAUCACAUCAUUUGGAGGUCGGUGGGAAAAGUUAUCAUUAAAAUAGUUAGCAAAGGUCAAAGUUGACAGCAAGUUAAGUUGGUCAUGACACCAACAUUGGGUCUUUCCUACACCAAAGACUGCCCAAAACCCAGUUUUCAAUCUGUACUCACACUUAAACAUUAAAAAGACCUCUCAUCCAUUCAAGAAAUAUGAAAAAAUUACGUAAAAUGGUCUUUGGCUACUUAUGUGCCCAGAACUGACCCUUGCAGCACAAGUUUUUGUACAAAACCAAAUUUUUUUUCGUGUAAUCAUUUACAGGAUUGUUGUAAUCUAUUGCAAUGACCAAAAAGGCCUACACUUGAUUACCAAGGCAUAAUUUGAAAGCUCUUUGAGUCUAGAAUCCAACAAAACAAGAAUUAACUCAUUCGGACUUCGGUGGAGAAAGUUAUGAGCAAAACAACCACCAAAGGCCAGAGUUGACAGGAAUAUAUAAAGCGUUAACUUUCAAGAAUUAACUGCACCUACUCAGAUGUCCAAAAAUGACAAAUUAGUAGUCAUUGGAAAGCUUGUUGAAUCUAGUUUCUAAUAAAAAAAGAAUCGCAUCAUUUAGAGGUCAGUGGGAAAAGUUAUCAUUAAAAUAGCCAACAAAGAUAAAAGUUGGCAGCAUGUUAUCUCACUCAAAUUUCCUUUGGAGAAUGUAGGCCAUAUAGUCCCUUGUAAUCGAUUACAAGGGCCCUGUAAACGAUUACACAAAAAAUAUUAUGGUUUUGUAAAAAAACUUGUGUUGUAGGAUCCAACUGUGGACACAUAAGUAGCCAAAGAGAUUUUUUGUAAUUUUUUCAUAUUUCUUCAAUGGAUGAGACUUCUUUUUAGUGUUUAAGUGUGAGUAGAGCUUGAAAACUGAGGUUUGGGGAGAAAGUUAAGAGCAAAACAUCAAGAAAGGUAAGAGCUGACAAGAAUAUAUAAAAUUUUACCUUUAAGGAAUUAACUGUUGCUAUGGUGGUUGGUGGUCUGUUUUGGGUCAAUUUUUCAUUUUUCUUACUAAAAACACAAUAAUUAACUUUAGUGGAGGAAGAAGUCAUUGAUAUUAGUGAAUGGAACAUUUUCUUUAAUUUGAACAUAACUGUCUUGCAUAACAAAGUCUGAAAUACGGUUGACAUUUUGACUUCAUUGAACAUUUAAACUAGUAAUUAACUAAUCAUUCUUCAUUAUGGGAUGUGGACCCUCUAAAGCCAGGAUCGUGAGGACAAUUAUUUCUUGUGUGGCCAGGGGUUUGACAGUAUGAGCAAUUUCGUGGGUGUGCUCGUUCCCUGAUGUCCAUUUCAGUCCUGAUUCUGGAUGAUUUUGGUUGACCCUUUGCAUUCCCUUUUGUGUCUGGAUUAGGCCAAAUUUUUGUGCCUUGGUAUGGUGGCCAAUAUUCUUCAGGUCGUAGCUCCCCAAACAUACUAUUAUACACUUUCAUGAUGACAUCCAACCUAUAGUAGGGACUGAUGUAAAUGUUAAAGUCGUGAUGAGCAUGUUUUCAAGCUGCUAAGACAUGUGAACACGGUAGAUGAAUCUUUUGAAACUUGCCAUAAUCACACCAUCGUUCAUCCAAUCUGACAACAAAUUUUCCGGCAGGUCGUAUUUCUCUUGGGUUUAUGAUAACAGUCUAAAAAUCGUUAUUUUCAUGCUUAAAUUUGAUAUCAAAACACACCCUUUAUGGCUUAGAAUCAAGUAAAAACACUUAGUUGAGUCAUAUGAGAGUCAAAAGUUGUUUUUAGAGAUAUUAUGUUUGUUUUGCAUGGUUUUAAUGUAAAUUAAAGAUGGAAGUGAAGUAGGAGGGACUUAGACUCAAGAAAGAAGGAGAAAAAGGAAGAAAAGAAGAGUCAAAAGCACCGCUCAACUCUAUUUUCCAACGCUGAGCACCAUAUUCGAGGGAGCAGCCACUGUCUGGCGCCCAGGCGGUGACGCUGAGCGGUUCUGCGAUUAGAGGCACACCGUUGAGCGGUGAAACAGACUGUUGAGCGGUGAAACAGACCGUUGAGCGGUGGCGCGAUUAGAGAGAAAUCGCUCUGCGCCCAAAUUAGGCGUUGAGCGGUUGUCUGCUAGGCUUAGGCUGAAAUUUUGUUUCUUUUCUAUGUUAUAAAUAGCCCCAGUGCGACCUUCAGAGUAUUCUUUUGACAAACAGAGAAGUCCAGAGCUCUUCUACACUCCUUGGAGACGGUUUCUUGGAUGCUUAGGCUCCAAUUAUCAAAUCUAGGGUUUGCUUUCCCAUUCUUUCAUUUAAUUCCAUCUAGUUUCACCAUGUCUAUGGUGAACUAAACCCUUUGUUAUUGGGGAACAAUGUAAUCUUUUGAAACUCUCUUAUAUUGAAAUUCUUGUUUUAUUCAUAUGCCUGCAUAUCCUUCUAUUAUCAAUUGUUGGGUUUCUUAUCUAUGCUUAAAGCUUUUAUCGUUUAACUCAUUCGGUAUAAAGAUAUUUGCCUUUGUAGAUCCGGGGACGUACGGGGAAGUCAUGAACUGAUAGGAAAUUCCUUGAUUAAGCAAUACCGCCUAGGGAUAGGGGUAGGACGAUCAAUUGUAUUUUGCUUCUGUGAUAAAUGCAUUGCUAAUUACUAGCGGAGACUAGGGAUAGUAAGUCAGUAACUAGUAAUAGGCUCUUCUCGCCGAGGGAUCGAGUUUAGGGUAGACUAAGAAAGUUUGCAUGACAAUUAGAUAAUAAAGCGAAUUUAACAAGAAGAGUAGAUAUAAGAGAGCGAAUAAGAUGAAAUUGUAAACCCCAACAACUCCAUUCAUCCAUAUCUUUUCCGUGCCAAUUGAAUCACUUGCAUGUGCAUGUUUAUUUUCUGUUUGCAUACAACCACCAUAAUUAUUUCUUUUCAAGUUUUAUGAGAUCAAUUUACAUGAAAGUUAAGGCCUAAGAGUCCUUUGGGAGACGAUACUCGGACUUACUGUUUAUAUAUUACUUGAUAACGAUCUGGUAGACUUGUCAGGGACUUUAACAAGUUUUUAGCGUCAUUGUCAGGGACUCAUGGUUUAACUUUUCAAGUAGUGUAAAUUUUUUUGUUCUAACAAAUGUUUUUUAGGGUUUUGUGCCUAAUGUUUGCAGGAUGCAGUUCGGACAUGAAUUUGAUUAUAUGGGUACUCAAUUCUACCAAAAUGAUUUCAACCACUGGUGGAAACCUCACUCAAAGUUGGAUCAAAGCCAGAAUGGGCGAGAUGUUAAGCAACAACUCUCUAGGCCAAAAGAAACGUUGGGGGAAGCUGAACAACGUUUACGGCAUAAAUUAUUCUCUAUGCCAAGAGAAACGUUGGGGGAAGCUGAACAAGUUUUAUGGCAUAAACUAUUUUCAUUGCCAAAAGAAACGUUGAGGGAAGCUGAACAACGUUUAUGGCAGAACCAACUCUCUUGUGUGAUGAAGUCUCUAGGUUUUAGGGUUAAUUCUGAAGUUAACCCUAGGGAGGAAUGCCAAGCCAUUAUCUCUAAAAGUGAUAAGGUUGUUGACGAGGAGAAGAUAAAGGAGAAGAUAGAGAUAGAUGAGGAGAAGAUAAAGGAGAAAAAAAUGGAGAAAAAGGAGGAAAAGAUAGAGGAAGAAGAGAUAGAGAUAGUAGAAACAAAAAGGGUGAGUGAGAAAGAAAAAACAGUGGUGAGAAAAAAGAAAAAAAGAUAAAAAUUGUGAAAAUAAAGAAGAAAGCAAGAAAAAAUAAAAAGAGAAAGUUGAGAGAAAAGAAAAGUGAGAAAAAGAGGAAGAGAGGAAAGAAGAAAAUAUCAUAUGAAAAACCCCUUCCUCAUCCAAAAAAGUAUCAUAGGAAGGAAAAGAAAUUUAAGAGCCUUAUGGAGAUCUUCAUGAAAUUGGAGAUUAAAAUUCCUAUGGGUGAAAUAUGAAAACAGGUGCUUGGUGUUCUCAAUUUUCUGAAGAAAUUCAGUAGGAAGAAGAAAAAGAAAAGAAUAUCAAUCAAGGAGAAUCAACACCUACUUAUGGGUGUUUUUAUCUUUCCAUUUUUAUUUUUCUGUUUUUAUUUUUCUGCUUUUAUUUUUUUGUUUUUAUUUUUCUAUCUUUAUUAAAAAAAUGAAAAUUAAAAUAAAAUAAUAUUUUUACUGUUUUUAUUUUUUGGGCUAAUUCUAUGCUCUAGUGCAGUGUUCUUUAGUGUGUGCAGGAUAAAAAUUUGUAUUAGGAGCACAAGAUCAUUAGGAGGCAGAUAAGGAAGGAGAAUUGGUUCACCAACACCCUGAUGUGAAAAGUGACAAACCCAAACCUGGCAUAUGAGUGAAAUUCCAGAAUAGGUUAUGGGUUGUCAAGACUAUCAAAGUAAAUAGAAUUCUUGAGAUUGAGGAUCCCUAGAGUUGGUGACAAGAAAAUUUCCAAAAUUUUGUUGGUGUCAUGGAGGAAGGAAGAACACCAACAUAAAAUAUCAACACCUACUGAUGGGUGUUUGGGCUUUACCAGGUAAAGCUAAUGUUAUUAAAAAAGCGCUUGCUGGGAGGCAACCCAGUUUCUAACUCUUUCUUUUAAAUUGAAUUAUUUGUGUGGUGUGAAUUUGAUUUUUUUCUUGUUUGAGUUUUUUUUUUUUAGGUUAAAUGCUGCUUCUGAUGGCAGUGACAAUAGCAUCUACUGAUGGAUGCUUCUACAACAUCUAUUGAUAGAUGUUGCUAGGAAAGAGUAUGGUGAAUCGACAUCUACUGGUGGAUGUCACUGACUGCAUUUAUUGAUGAAUUCCACUAGGAUAGCAUCUACUGAGGGAUGUUAGAAGAUUUAGGUAUCUAUAGAAGGAUACCAGGAAGGUACACCUACUGAUGGGUGUUGGUAAGGAUUGCACUUACUGAUGAGUGCUAGACAUGUUUGGGUCAGGCUCGUGACAUUAAACAAGCGCUACCUAGGAGAUAACCCAAUUGAUUAUUUUCUUGUUUAUAAACUCUGUUCUAGUGCAUUAUAUUUGUGAAUGUUGCAUUUGAGAGGGGAAAGACACAUAAUUUAAAUUUUGAAAUUUGAAAUCAGGUGCUACAAGGCUGAAAAUGUGAAGGCAAGCAAAGAAGAGAAAAACAAAGUUUAACGACCACUGUUGAGCGGUGGCAGCGCAGACCCAGCUCGGGCUUUUAAAAGCUGAGCGUUUUGGGGGUUUCUGCACUUUGAAAUCUCUUCGUUGCAUUUCGCCCAAGCGGUCUCCAUAAGCCCUAACACUUCUCUUUCACUUUCAAAAGCUUUCCAAAGAGUUUUCCCCACUUUUCCCAUCACCCACUCACAAAAAUCUCACUUUUCGAUAAUUCCAUUGGGGGUUUUUGGUGAGAGCUUUGCAUCGGGAGGCAUUAGUCAUCAAUUGGAAAGAAUCUUUCAAGCAUUUAGAGGAUCUCCACUCAAGUAAGUAAUGCAAUUUCAUUGUUAGGGUUUCUAAAAUUGGAAUUGAUGAAGAACAUGUGUAGGAAUAUGAGAAAUUAGAGCUUUUGAUUCCUAUCAUGAUUUGAUGAAAUAGAAACUGUUUGAACUGAUUGAAUUGCAUAGAUUUCGUCUGGAAUGAUGAAAUUAGUGAUAGAGUGGAGAUUAGGGCGUUUAGAAAAAGGUUUUUGAAAAACCCUUGUCGUCACCGCUGAGCGAUCCGUUUGGACGCUGAGCGGUGGCGCGAUAAUGGGGAAUCCGCUGAGCAAUCUGCUUGGACGUUGAGCGGUGUGCAGCAGUUUUGUGUGGGUGCUUAAUAUUCUGAUACAGGGACGCUAAGGGGCCCUGUUCUUCCCUCAGUGUUAGCCAGUGCUUAAUUAUGAGUUUGAUUGAUGAUUUGCUAACCUCUAAUGAUGAAUUCCUCUGGUUUUAUGAACUGUAUGUGAUGCAGGGAUGGCUUCAUCAUCAAGAAGGGUGAAAACUCCUGGGAACAAGAGGAAAGACCAAGAGAGGCCGCAAAGAUUUUAUUCUCCUAGGUUCCUCUCCAGGAAGCAUGAGGAGCACUAUGUGACGGUGCAGGAAAGAAGACUACUGAUGGAGAGGAAGGCCAUUUUUAUCCUAGACUUGGCUCUGGAGUUUGGAUUGCAGAUCGAAGGGAGAAACUGGGAGAGCACAGUUUCUUAGGCACUGAGUGGCCAGGUGAGCAGUGCCAGUAUGUAGCACUUGUAGGGGGGUUCAGACACAUUGCUGAUUUUGAGAGAGUUAUGUGCCUCCCUGGAACACAUUUUCAGAACAACCCAAAUGGAGUGCCUAUCAACAUCGAAAGGGCAGAUUUGACGCCCCUGGCAAAGUACUGGAUGGCAUUAACUCAUGCCAAUAUUCAGCCGUGCUCACAUGUGUCCAACAUUACCAUGCAUAGGAUUAUCUUCAUCUACUGCAUGCUGAGGCAGAUGGAUGUGAAUGUCGGUAAAGUUAUUGCUGACGAGAUUCAGAGCUACGCUACUACUGUGAGUAGCAGGACACUGUUGGGACAUCCGUCCCUAAUUACUUAUUUGUGCCAACCUGUUAGGAUGGAGUCGCUCCGCAGGGGGCAAAUAGCUACUGUAGAGAUGAUAGUAGGGUUGUACGACACACCACCGGUGCACAGGUCACUACAAGAAAAAUCGUCAUUAUCUACAGCCAAAAUCCGUAUAUAAGGCUCAAAAGUCGUAUAUAAUUUUUGGUUAUAUACGGAUUACAUAUGGACAAAAAUCCAUAUUUAAUAUUGUCGUAGGUAGUGUUAUAUACGGAUAAUCCGUAUAUAACUUAUAUACAGAUUGUCCGUAUAUAAAUUAUAUAUAGUUUUUUUUAGCAGUAACAUGAAUAUCUAACUUACGCAUUUCCAAACACAAAUCAUAACACCUGCCCAUUAUAUCCAUCCAUUCAUUUGACAUAUAAAGUCUUAACUCAAAGACAAGCAUUUAACAUUAAUCCAUCACAGAAAAGUUUAUAAAAUUUUCAAUUAGAACAAAUAUAUAAGUUCUUCAGAGAAUAAGUUUGAGUCCUAGAUUCCCUACUCUCUAAAAACAUAAUUAGUAAUUUCUUUGAUAACGAUGCUGUUGUGGUUGAUCCUGUUGUGGUUGAUCCUCCUGUGGUUGAUCCUCCUGUGGUUGAUCCUCCUGUGCUUGUUGUUGUUAUGGUUGCUGAACAUUAGUUUGUGAAAGAAUUUGGGAUUGAAGAAAUUGUUGUGCAGGUGCUGCUGCAGGAGGCGAAAGGUAAUGCAAGAUGGCGCCAAUAAAACCUUCAAAUUUAGAAUUCAUCUGCCGAAGUUGCCGAAGUUGGUCAUCAUGGGUUGAUACUAUAUUUUGAAGGUUAGAAAUGUCUUGCACAAUCAGUUGCUGAGAAGAAGAUGCUUGUGUCUGUUGUAUAUAACUAUCGACAUAAUCCUCUCUACCAAUGACAUUUCCAAUGCCAUAUACCCGUCCCUUGUACCUUCCACCAGCAACCUCCAACCAGCAUUGGUUCCUUAAUCUUUCCUCAUCUGCAGGGUCUAGGGGAGCAGUAGCUGAAGCACCAACAAAUCCAGUCUCAGAUCUUAAUUGAGAAAAUCUUGCUUGAAACUCUUCCUGUUAAAUGAAUAUAUAUGAUUAUCGUUAAUUAGAUAGAUCAAAUAAGAUUUAAAACCUAAUAAAGAAUAUAUAAUAGAGUUAGUAGAAACUAACAUGUGUCUGCCUAGACCUUUCAUCGACAAAUUCUCCUGUUGAUGCUCGAAUAUGUGUCUACUGAAAUAUUUCAUCGACAUGCACUGUCCGACCAAGCUCCUGCGACCGUAACUAAAGAAGAUGUAAAUUGUUAACAACAAAUAUUUGUAAAAGUAAUGAGUAGAAAUGUAAAAUAAAAUUGAUAUGUCAUCAUACCAGACGAAUAGCAUGCUCAUGCACGCUAAUGGAUCCUCCAAUGUGCAAACAACCACCUUUGUCAGAUGUCCUGUUCUUCUUGGCGGUUUCACACUUUUGUCUAUAAAGUGGCAUGUUCCACUUCUCCAAAAGAGCAUUCCAAACCUCAUCUCCCAUCCAAUCAGGUUUUUUCCCUAGUGUUUGAGCUUUUUUAAACAUCUCAGAUAAUCUAUGAGAUGCUUUGGUAUGGAAAUUCUUUUUUAUCUUUUCUUCAUCCUCAAUCCUCCAUGAUACCUUUCUCUGUUGACAAAAAACAUGAAUGUUAAGGAAUUUGACUUGAAUUAGUCGGAGUGCACAUUUGUUUACAACUUAAGCUAGAUGGUCUUCAAUUUGAUAGGCUACAUGGUUAUGUGAUGCAGGCUCAACAGUUAAACAAGGAUAUAUUUGACACAAUAUACUAUAUCAUGCACUUGUUAUGAAUUGGCUGGAAAUGAGGGUCCUUAUGAAACAUAUAGUGGGAGUCCGAUGAGCAAGGUACAUUGUUGUGAAAGUCUUUUAUACUCAUGCUUUUUUGUCUACGUUAUAUUCAUAAUGCAGUGAAUGCAUAUUGAACUUAAAUAUUUAGGUUGUUGAUAGAGGAUGUUACAUAGAUCAAAGCCUAAACAUCUAAUUGAUUUAAUUCAGUCAAAGCAAAGCAUACAAUUAAUAUACAGUUGAUUUAGUAGAAUUAGAUUCAGAUAGAGUUUAAUAGUAGUAUGAUACCUGACUUAGCAUAGGGACUUGUAAUUGCUAUCUCAUAGUAGUGUAGUUUAUCUAGUUUUUCUUAAUUUGUUUUUGACUUUAGUAUUUACUAAUGUAAUCAGUUUGUUGAUGUAUUCAGUUUUACUAAUUUGUUUUAACUAACUUUGUUUGUUGAUUCAAUCAAUUUAUUAACUUACUAACCUUACUAUUUUUUUUCUAUACUUGUUCAGUUGCUAACUCUACUAAUCUAUAAUAACUGUUUUUGCUAACCUAGUCAGUUUUACUAACUGGUUUUGCUAAUAUCAGUUCAGUAACAGUUUUCAAACAAUGCUGAGAGAGAGACAUGAAACUCAACUAAAUAAGGGUACCCUUCUCAAACAUAUCGACAAAAAAUGAGAAUUGGUGAGAUGAUCAUAUAUUAUACUAGUUUUUUUGUAUCAUUGACAAUUGGACAAAGGCCCAUUUUCUGUUCGGUGAACCCAGUUAGUAAUGUCAUUCAGAAGCAACAAAAUUGUAUGAAAAAAGAAAAUAUGCUCAAAGUUUGCAAAUGAGUUCAAUGAUUUCAUUGAUCCUGAACUUGCGAGUUGCUUGUAGUUAUUUCAGUUAGAGACCACCUGUAUCGAACAUAAGACAAAGUAAUGACUUAACACUUAGUCUAGAUCCUAUCCCUACGGACCUAUAAUUUUGUACAUUAACUAACCUAGAAAACAAACAUACCAAUAUGAUAAAAUUAAUAUAUAUAUAUAUAUAUAUAUAUAUAUAUAUAUAUAUAUAUAUAUAUAUACUUCAAAUUUUGACUCAAUCUUCUAUGAGAUUGUUGUACCAGAUCAUAUCAAAGAGAUCAAUUAAAGUGCACCAUGUAAGAGCAACAAAUGGACCGAAGUUAGCCUCUUUUAUCAAUGACAUGGAGUUGAAUAUAACAACUGUGUAUAGUAUGAGUUCAAUAUAAUCUAAAAGGUUACUUCCCUCGUCGAACGUGGAUGUUUCAUCCUUUAAAUGAAACUAAAACUAUUACUAUGUAUAUAUAUUCAGAAAACAUUGAAUAAUGACUUUGAAUUAAAUGAAAUCCAAUAAUAACUUAUUUUAUACCAUGGGAAUUGUUAGGGACCAAUACAGUGUGUCAGGAAGGACAGAGCAGAGAUUGUAUACUAGAAAAAAAAAUAGCAGUGUUGUUAGGAUGGAAGUUGGACAGUUAGUCAAUUAGGAGGGUAGGUUAUAGAAAUACUUUUUUUGGCUUAUAAGGAAGUUGGUUUCAAUUUUUCCUCUUAUUUUUAUGUACUAGAAGGAACUCAUGGAGAAGUUAGCCCAAACAGAUCCAAAGAGAUAUCAACAUCUUUAUCAAUUAAGUCUAAGUUCAAGAACGUUAUCAAGCUUCUAUAAGUUAUAAUUCAUCAUAUAAAUGUCAAGAUCCUUAUUGAUUAGUAAGUUAAAGAACCUGGACACAUCAGAUUCCAAAACUAUUUAAAUUAUUAUUAAUGUCAAUAUCUGAACACGCUAAAAAAUAAGAGGUACAAGCAUUCCUCCUUGUAAAAUAUUCCACUUCUAAAUCUAAUCUUGGAGCAGCUUCCGUUUUAGAUUUUAUUGAAAUACGGCAUAAAUUGUUUCAAACUUAAUCUGUCAGUACCAAGGAUCGAGAGAACAGAGGUAGUUAAUGUCAUUAUUCAUUUCCAUGCUAGAGUACAAACCUUAAGGUAAGUUGUACCAUUCUUGAGCUGAUCUUAAAUGAAAUCAAAAAUUGAAUUAAACACAAGUGUACCUUAAAACGCUCAAAGAAAACAUCUCUGCGAGUCUGAGGGAUCUGUCCCCAUGUAAGCCAUGGCUCAUCAAACUAUCCUUUAAUGGUGGCUGUGAUUGCUUUGGAUGUUGUUUUUGUUGGAUAAAACCUAUACUAAAAUAUAAGUCAAAUAUUAGAAUAAUAUAUUAUACAAUUACCAACAUUAAAUUAAUUUUUUGUUACCCUCCUCCAACAGGUGUAAUGAUUGGAUGAUUGCUGGAAACAUCUUCAAAAUUUGCCGCUGAACUUGAAUGUCGAACUCCAUCCCCUAUAGGAGGUGUUGGUGCAAUAUUUGUGGGAGUUGUUGGGUUAGAACCAACAUGGGGGAGGGUGAUCUCCAUUGAUCAUUACCAACUUGUUGUGGACUAGGUGUGAAGGCAGGAACUUUCAAUGAAGGUGGAAUAAAUGGUGGAGUAGUUGUCAAACCAGGAACUUGCAAUGGUGGUGGAAUAGAUCUAGAAGUGGAGGUAGAAUUAGGUGUAGAUGGCUGACUACUUGAUGCAUUUACAUAAUUAAAACGGGACAUCAACUUGAUUAGAUAACGUUUCUUCUUCCCCUUCUCCUUAUUUGAGUUUCCUGAAGGUGGAAUAGGAGGGUCACAACCACCUGUUGCCAUAUUCUUGAACAUAAAAACAAAAUUGUUGGGUCAAUAUAUUUUUAGAAUUGAAUGGAAAGGACAAGUAAGAGAACAAUAUAUUUUUUUUUGCCAUUACUACACAUUGAAGCAUAAAAUAAGAAUGCAAAAUUCAUCCACACAAAACCAUCGCAGAAUAAAUUCUAAUCAGCAAAAUAAGUAGUCAAAUACAAACGGUGUCGAAAUAACAUGCAAAGUGCAAUUACAUAAAUGAUCACCCAUGGGUACAACAAGACAUCCUAACUCUAUUCACUGCUAGACGUUUGAAAUGAAUCUUCGUCGUCAUCUUCACUUUGUCCCUCUUCACUGCAUUCUUCUUCCGAUUCACUUGUUUCUUCAUCCAUAUACCCUUCAACUGAUGGUACAUUGUUGGGGUCCACUUCUUGAAGACCGGCUUCUAUAUCUUGCAAUCGGAUAAAUUCUUCAAUUUCAAUGAUGUCAUUAACAUGUGACAUUUCCUCCACUUGGUAUGGCACCUCGGCUUCUACCUCAUUAGAAGCUAUACGACUCUAGGUUUGGUCUUUAUUGCAACAUUCCAACCUCGUUUGUCCGGUGCGUGAUGCAGGAUAUGGUACAUAGUACACUUGUUCUACAUUAUGUGCAAUUAUAAAAGGAUCAAACAAGACAUAUCUUUUAUCCAUUCGAAUAUCCACAAUGUCAUACUUUGAAUCCACUUUUGUCCCUGUUCUUGAUGGAUCAAACCAAUCACAAUAAAAUAAUACAAUUUUCUUUUCAAUGGGUGAGGUAUUGUACUCGAGCUCAUAUAUGUGCUUAAUGACACCAUAGAAAUCAUCUUCACCCCCUUCUGUAACACCUUUAACAUGAACCCCACUAUUUAUAGUCCUCUUCCCCUGGCUCCAUGCAUGGGUAUGAAAUUUAUAUCCAUUCACAAAGUAGGUAUGCCAUUCCUUUACACAUCUUAAAGGAGCAAGUGAUAAAUCUCUAAGAUGUUGGCUCCUCACACUUAAAGGCUCGUCCUGAACCUACAACCAUAAAGUAUUUAAAAAUCUUGAAUUAAAUAAUUAACGAAGAAAUGAAUCUCUAAGAAUGGUUCGAAGUCGUACUUUUUGCCUGAACCACAAUGGGAAAUUUGCAUGUAUGUAUGUCGAACUGUUUGACUCAGAAAGUUGAUAGGUAUGUAAGAAUGAGUUGUUCAUAGGUACGAGAAUAUUCGGUCAAUUCCAAUUUAAUAGAUAACAACAAAAACUUGAGAAAAGCAAUUUAUUUGGAGCCUUACUCAAGAUAAGGUUGAACUUUAUUGCAAUUGAUCAAGACAUGAACAUGAGGUGAUCUCAAUUCUUCGUCACUUAGCCAAUGAGUUGAUUCCCUCCCGGAAUGACGACCAGCUUGGUCAAACACUGAUAAUGUUGUCCUUUCAAUUUCAAUGUCUACUUCAUUUCUAUUUCUUUGUGGUGUUAACAUAAAGUUCUUGAAGUAGUGGGAACAGAAAUGAGUUGUUUCUUUGUGCAAAUAUGAUGCGCAAAUAGAUCCUUCAACCCUAGCUUUAUUCUUAACUGAACGUUUAACAUAUCACAUGAACCUAUACAAUUUCAGAAGUUGUAUGUUAUGAUCAUGAAAUAUGUAAAAUAAAAUUGAACAACACAACUAGUUAUUGUAACCUUUCGAAUAGGUACAUCCACCUAUAUUGGACCGGUCCACCAAGUCUUGCCUCAUAUGGAAGAUGUAUAGGGAUAUGUUCCAUAGAAUCAAAGAAUGAGGGGGGAAAUAUUCUCUCCAUCUUGCAAAGAAUGAAUGGAAUGUUUUCUUCCAUCUUCUGAAGGUCGACCUUAUUCAAUGUUGUACAACAUAAAUCUCUGAAGAAAUGACUUACUUCUAUAAUGGGAUUGAGAACAUGAGUCGGUAAAGAACUAAACGCUAUAGGAAGUAAGCAUUCCAUAAAGACAUGGCAGUCAUGGCUUUUCAUCCCAAUGACCUUUCCCCUAUUCACAUCAGCACACCUUGACAAGUUAGAAGAAUACCUGUUAAGCAUCCUAAGAUCUUUCAACCAAUGACAGACCUAUUUUGAUUGGUCUAUUGAAAGUGUAUAAUUAGCUUUUGGCUUUUACAUCUUUCCAUUACUAUGAGAUUUGUGCUCCAAGUCUUUUCGUCUACAAUACAAACCUAAAUCCAUUCGGGCCUUUUCAUUGUCUUUUAACUUCCCACUGACAUUCAUCACGGUAUUAAAAAUGUUGUCAAAGAAAUUCUUCUCAAUAUGCAUGAAAUCAAGGUUAUGCCUUAACAAAUUAUCCUUCCAAUAUGGUAGAUCCCAAAAGAUGCAAAUUUCCGUCCAAUUAUGCCACUCACCAUAUCCAUGUAUUCUUGGUGGACCAUUUUCCGUUACUUUAGGAUAACCAUUAACUCUAUUCCAAACUUCUAUUCCCGUCAAAGAAGGUGGCGCGUCUUCCAUGUCCACUUCCCCCGUUUUGAAAGCAUUCCUAUUUCUUCUAAAGGGAUGUUAAUUUGGUAAAAACCUCUGAUGGGAGUCAAACCAUGAAUGUUUUCGCCCAUGGUAUAAUCUAAAAGCCUUUGAAUGCUUCAUGCAAUGUGGACAAGCCAAUUUACCAUGGGUGCUCAAUCCAGACAGCAUACCACAAGCAGGAAAAUCAUUAAUUGUCCACAUUAGCAUCACCCUCAUUAUAAAUUUUUGUCGCCUUGCAAUAUCGUAUGUUAGGAAACCACUCCACAACUUUUUGAAGUCAUCUAUCAAUGGCUCUAGGUAUACAUCAAUGCCUACCUUUGGAUUGCAUGCCCCGAGAAACAUGAGACAAGUCAUGUACGGUUUAGACAUGCACAUAUCUGGAGGAAGAUUGUACGGCGUCACAAUUACUGGCCAACAUGAAUAUGGUAUAUUUGAUGCCUGCACAUAUGGAUUAAAACCAUUAGAGCAUAAACCAAGUCAAACAUUGCGUGGCUCAAUGGCAAAAUCAGGAUGUACUCUAUCAAAGUGCUUUCACGCCUCUCCAUCACAUGGAUGACGCCAUUUGACGACCUGUUGUGAUGGUGCCAUGUCAUUUCUGCUGCAGUUUCUUUUGAGGCAUACAUUCUUUGAAGUCUUGGAAUUAUUAGCAAAUAGAACAUGGAUUUUACAGGUACUUGUUUUUUAAAACUUGCUCCUGUCUUGUGUUGUUGAUACCUUGGCUUCCCACAAAAUUUGCAUUCAACCAGCACUCCAUCAUUCUUUCCAUAAUCAUUAUCAUAGAAGAGCAUGCAACCAUCCACGCAACAAUCAAUCCUUUGCAACUGUAAUCCCAGCUUCGACACUGAAUUUUUUGCAUCGUAGUAAGUUUUUGGCAAACCAAAUUUAAUGGGUGUUGCAUCCAAAACCAUAUUUGCAACGAAAUCUAAGCAUUGGUUAGGAAUAUUCCAAUUCGACUUGCAAGCUAAACGCCUCACACACAUUGAUAAUUUAGAAUCUAAUGCUCCUUCAUACAAAGGCGUAUUUGCCUCCAACAAAAGGUUAUAAAACCUUUGAGUUUCUUCAUUUGGAGCCUCUUCCAUGUUAGAAGAAUUUGAUGGUUGGAAGGGUUGUCAUUGCAUAAGAGCAUCAUGCGCCAUGUCUUCCAUCGUCAUAACUUGUUCAUUUGGUUCACCUUCUGUCUCCACACCCCUCAAAGUGACAUCAUUAACUAAAUCAGUUUCUGGCACGAUUUCCCCAAGAUCCUCCCAAAUGAAAUAAUUAGGCUUGAAACCCACCUUGUAGAGGUGAACCUUGACAACUCUUUCGUUCAAAAUCUUUGUACAAUCGUACUUUAAACAUGGACAUCGAAGCCCCCCAUCUCUUUGAUAACGUUCUUGUUCACAAGCUUUAAUUAUAAACUCUUCAACACCCAAUACAAAUGACUCUUUCAAAGCACCUCUUCCUCUAUAACACCUAUCGUACAUCCAUGAACGAUAAGGUGGAGCAUGAUCCAUGUUCUGUAUACAUAUCAAUUAACAAAAAAUUAACCAGUACUUAAUACAAGGUUAAAUUAAUUAUGUGUUACAAGUUUUCCUUCAAGGAAAAUAAAUAAGAAAGUACAACACUGAACAAUUGGUAAUUGAAUUUCCAUCACUACUCCUUACUAGAUAAUGUAAGGAAAGUACUUAGUCAUGGUAGUCUAAAAAAUAGAAUGUGUUAUCUUAAUGUUUAGCUAACUCAUGAAACACGUUGAGGGUGGGUUUAUGCUACAACACAUGUAGCUGUAUGCAAAAAGAAGAGGGAAUCAUACCAAUUCCAUCUUCUGAUUUUUGGAUAAAGUAUUAAUCCCAUAAUCUAGGAUAGCCUUCAAAAGGAAUUCUUUCAUUAAAGAAUCUCUGCAUUUUCAUAAUUGUUUCCUCCCUAAUUUGUGUUGAUUGCAUGCUUAAAAGAAGAUCUAGUAAAGAAAAUGUCUGGGAGAAUUGAGGAUUUGUUGAAAUAGUAGACAAGAUUUAUGCUGAGACACGGUUCAACCAUCUCAAAAGCAUAUCAAAUAUAGAAAACCAAAAAUGCAUUGUCAUAAUGUAUAUUCAUGUUAUAUGCUUGAAUGUAAAUAAACUUUAUGAAUCACUACGGUAUGCAUUAGGUAUAAGAUAAAAUGUCAAUACUUCUCACCUUUUCUGUUGAAAACUUACUACGAGCUUUGGCUGAUUGUGAAAAAAACCUUGUUGUAUACUGGAUUGUACAUGCAGAUGCAGAACUAUGUAGCAAGAAGCAAUUGCAAAGAAUCUAAAAACCACAAUUAACUAGGUUGAGAAUGGAUACUAAGUAUAAAACCAAAUAAUUGCAAAUUGAAGGAAAAACAAGGUAAUGAAAUCAACUCAAGGAUUAGAAAAUCUGGGAAAAUAAAGUGUCUGGAAACCUUAAAAUAUAUGUACCACAUAAGAAUAGUACACAUAAUAUACUUUACUUGAAAAUUCAAUCUAAGUCAUCAAAGCUUCCUAUGUUAUCCCAUGCAGUGAUAUAUUAGUAUACUGAAAUGAGACUUACCAAACAAGCAUCAAAAUUUCCAUUAUAAACAAAAUUUCACUCAUUCAAAAUCUCACAUAUAAAGUUAAAUGGUGCAUAAGAAAAACAAGAUCAAUAAAUAUUAAAUCUUAGGUUUUACGUUGAAUGUAGUGUCAAGUCUUUCAUAUGAAGAAUUCAUACCUCACAUAUGAUCAAUCUUCUCAAUUAGUCCCAAUUAUUAUAAACUAAGAGGAGUUUCUAUUUAGAAAAUAAUUAAGGACUCUAAUCUUUUUCAAAUCAAAGCUUAUGUUUCAUGUAUUUAAAUUUUAAUUUGUUGUAGAAACCACUAUCUUCAACAUAUUCUCACUAAAGCCACUAACACCAUUGCUCAUGGUAUUAUCAAAUAAGGAGUGUUAUCAUUGCAGAACUGAAAUUGGAGUUCAAGGAAAAGAGUAGAUAUGAACAAGGUAAAUGCAUAUCCUUGUUUGUAUGCACAAUGUAGAAGAAAGACAUACAAGGACAAUAGGGGUGGUGGCAACAAUGAAGUUGUAAGAGAGAAAUGAGAGGAGGACUCAAAGUAUGUAACAGAAAUAUGUCUCAAUUAAAGAAUGUAUUUCUAAUUAAAAAAAUAAAUGUAAAAAUUGAAACCUUUCAAUAAUACAUUUUUUUUUCUCAACCUAACACGUUUUAUUUAUAUGACACUGAUAUUAAAUUAAAAGACACUAUAAAAAGUUAAAACAUAAAAAGAAAAAGAGGAUGAUUUUCUGGAAUAAUGUAACUUUUGUAUAACAAAAAUUAAAGAAUUAUGAAAUAAGUAUGAUAAGAGAAGCGUUGACACUAAACAGUUUUGGAAGCAGAAAGUAAUAGAAAACUAUUGUGAACUAUGUAUAUAGAUAUGGUUAGUUUGAAAUCAUUAUGUGGAGAGAAGGUAGCUGGUGUAUAAAAGUACAGUAAAAAAACAGUGGGAGUUUAGACAUUUCACCUUUGGAUAGAUGUAUGUGUGUGUAUGGUUAUGGUUGUUGAAAGCAGAAAUAAAUUGGAUAGAUGUAUAUGUGUUGAUGGACUGAAUUAAACCACAUUCAGGAUACCAAAAAAAUAUGGUUUUAAACAUGAUUAUGUAAAUUCAAUAAUAUUCUGCAGCUGAGUUCCAACUUUUAGCAGUCUCCACAAUGGAUAAUGAGCAGACUAUAAACAGAUAGUUCUAAUUCAGUAAGAAAACCAUUCACUACAAAAAGAAAUUAGCAUAGCAAGUUCUUUUUAAAUGAAUAUUAAGUUUCUAUCUAAAAUAAAUCUCAAUAAAAGCUAACAUUUCCUUUCUUCAAUAGCACCUCGUAACUUUUGCAAUGAACAAAGUGUCAUGGAAAACUAAUGCUUUCAAGCCUAAAUUAACAUAACAAAUAAAGAGCUUAAUUUAAGGCAAACUCUCCCCCAACGAUUUAAUCAGUGGCCCUUUGUAUGAAAUUUUACUAUGGUUUCACUAUGCAGAAAAAGUUUUCUGAAUAGGGAUUCAGUACAACUAAAACAAACACAAUAAUCAUUAGUGUGGUUCACUUUUCAAAAAGGAUAAUGUCUAGUAGCAUUUCAUUAUUCAUGAGAUUACCACUCUAGUUACAAACAAGAUCUAAAUAGGUCAGAAUUAGCACCAAAACAAUGGAUCAAUUUGGUACUGAGAGUCCUUGGGUGUUAAUGCAGUGGCAAAGCAAACUUCCAUAAGAGGCUACUUGGGAGGACAGAUCCUCCAUUAACAAUUAGUUCCCUAAUUUCAACCUUGAGGACAUGGUACAUGAAUCUAGUACAGCCACAUGGAUAUGGUACUAUAUGGUUGUUGCUAACAACUAUGAUAACUAGUACUAGAGACAAAAGUUGCAUAUGAUAACUAUACCCAACACCAUAUUCUAAAGAAUGAUGUUUUUCUCGUUACCAUUCAGUUUUCCCCAUCAUUCCGACUCAGAAAUCAAGUCCUAUAGAUUUUUCUUUCACAGAUAUUUUUUUUUUUAAAAAGCAUUUUAUUUUUUUCUGAACACAAUCUUAUACAUUAGUAUUAAUAAAUAUUCAUACCUUAAUUCACUAUAUAAGUUGAAAAAUUAGCCUGUUUAAUUUAAAUCCUACCUCAAUACACACCAACGUAAACAUAGCUUUGACCUGACGCAUGGCGUUUGUCUAAUAAUGGACCACAUUUUGUUGACUCCAUAAAUGAAAAUGAGAUAUUUUCUCACAUACUAAAUGCUGAGAAUCUCAUUCUCAUAGCUUAGGUCAAUGCUAUCUAUUAGACUGUCAUCUUGAUAUUCUGCAUCAUUCUUACCACGUGUUGAACUAUAAUCGGUUUAUGGCUCACUCUUCUAACAUUAUAAUUCAUUGAAUUACAACAUACAUAUUAAAUUAAAGGGCUAAAAAUGAAAAUGGUGUUGCAUAGCAUGGAGGGCAAAUAGCUGAAUGACAUAAACCCUACCCAAGCCCAGACCUUGUGAACAAUGUUUGCCCUGUUGCCAAUGCUGAGAAAGAUAGAGACUGAAAAAGACUACUUAUGUGGUUAACAUAACAAGAGCACAAGAUAAUGCUUUGGACAGACACACCUAAGAUGCACACUAACUACAACAAAAUCUAUGUAAGGAUAAUCUAAAAAUCCACUAAGUUCCCUAAACUAAGUGAGUGAAAUCUACCAAUUUAAGACACUACACUAAUUAGCACAGGAAGUGUUGAUUCAAGAUAUUCUUAAGUAGUAUAUAUGACCUUUUAUCACCUUUCAAUAACAGCCAAUAAAAAGAAACCAAAAUGUAAGCAAUUCAUACUUACCAAGUGCAGAAGGCAAUUGCAGCUCCAGCUUAUCUCUUCCGCUUCGAAGAAACCAACCUAGGGUUUCCAAAAUCCCAAUUUCAAACCUCCAAACAACAACGACCAAAAAUAGGUCAAUGUAACAACACCCAGAGAAAAGAAAACUGAAAUGCGAUUUCAAACCUCAAAUAUAAGCAAUUCAAACUUACCACCAGCAGGAGGCGACUAGAGCUCCAGCUUCCAGUUCGAAGAAACCAACCUAGGAUUUCCAAAGUCGCGAUUUCAAACCUCCAAAUAGCAAUAACCAAAAAUUGGUCAAUUUAACAACAAAAAGAGAAAACGAAAAUACAAAUUAGCCUCAAAGCUUCAAUUACUCACCGCGUUUGACAAAUGGACACAAUCAUUGUAGACCAAGGUCGGUCUUCCUUUUACGGAUUUGUUAACCUCAGACCAUUCAACGUUCUAGUACCACACUUGAGUCAAACAGAGACGUAUACCUUGUGCCAUACAUUGAUGGGUAUGUGUUGUUUUAUGUAAAAGGUAAUUAAAGUUUACUUAAUUAGCUUACUAACUAUUUAUGAUGUUCCAAACAGGACUCACUGGCAGCUGUUGGUCCUUAUUCCCAAAAACUGUACAGUUGUGCUCUUAUGUUCGUUGCAAAUGAAGAUGAAAAAUGACUUGAGAAACAUGCUUCAAGGGUAAGUGUUUCACCAAAAAUGACUUUGAAAUUUAUGUUGGCCUUAAUUUUUUUAUGAUAACAUUCUUAUAUUAAUGUUAGUUUGUGUUUUAAUGUAAAUAGAGUUUUAUAAUUGUUAUAUUAAACAAAACUAUUGUAAAUGAAUCAAAUUGCGCCACCUUCCCAUUAAGCUACUUGAUGAUCAUACAGUCCACUUUGCCCUGUACAAUAAAAUUGUCUUGCUGUAAUACUAAUCUCAUAGUCCAUUGGUGAUAAAAUUUUGUAACAAUAAUUAAUUUUUUGCAUGAAAAUAUAAUUUUAUACAUCAGUUAGUUUCAUAAUUUAAUUAAAUUAAAAUAUACAAUGAAAAAUCCUUUCAUUUUCUAAAUUGAUUUUGUAAAAUUAAAUAAUUUUUUAAUUGUGUCCUUCUUACACAUUGGGACAGCUUAAACACAUGUAAACUAAACAUUUUCCUUUCAUGAUCCUACUCUGUGGUAUGUGUAAAAUGUGUAAAAUAUUAGCUAAUUAUUAGUUUUGUAUUUCCUUAAUUCAUGUUUCAAAUUGUUCAUAUAUUCAUUAUAGUAUUUUUAUUUGUAUAGAAUAUAUUCAAAGCAAAAUCUGCUUCAUUAGUAUCUACCUAGGUUUCAAUUUUCACCAUGUCCACUUCCAUUGAAAACAAGCACCAGCACAUCAAUGAAACCACAGCAACCAAUUCUGCAGAAAGGAGCUUUCAUGGUUUCUCUGCUAAGGAGAAAAUGAAUUUGGAUUUUGAUUUGAAUGAACCUAUGAUUAAUAUCAAUUUGGUUCCAAUUUCUCAGGUAUAUCAUCAUCUCUCAAUCUAUUUUUGUUCAUUAGAAAAACUAUGCCCUUUUCAAUACUUCCAUCUUUUGUUUAUUGAUUUUUGUUAAAAUGAUUUUGGUUUAAAAUAAUUAGUUUGGAAUAUUCUAAAAAGUAAAUUAGUAUAAUUUGUUUAUUUGACACAAAAAAUAGUAUUAUUUGUUUAUUUGACACAAAAUCAAAUCUAAAUCUAAUAUCAGCUAAAUCAAGUCCUGUAUCCAAAGGUUUGGUGCAUUUAUAGUUUUAAUUCAUUUACUAUGUUAUUCAAUGAUCUUAAUUCUUGACUAUAAUUAGUUUGUCAUUUUAGUGUAACAAGCAGCUAGAUUCAUGGGAAUGUGGGUACUAUGUGAUGUCUUGGAUUAAGACCAUCCUUCGAGCCGGCAUUACAGAUAACUGGAAUGAGGUAAUAAUCAUGCUUACUUUGAAAACAUCACAAAUCAAUAAUUUUCUUUCAACAUUUAUCAAAUCAUAAUGAAUAUUUCUUUAUUGUGCAGCGCUUCAACAAUUUAUCUCCUUUACCCGAAGACACCAUAAAGCAGCUAAGGCAGGAGUGAACAACUUAUCUUCUCCAAAAUUGGAACUAGGAAGACUUAUAUUUGUUGUUGAACAUUACUUAGGUUUAGUUUAAGUUUAUAAUUUUAUAUUUUUGAUCUUUGAUUGAAUUAUAGCUAAAACACAAACAUUUAUUGUAAAUAAUUGUUCUGGGUCAAUAUUCUAAUUUUCAGGUGUGGUUUUAUUGGAAAAAUAAAAUAUUUUUAGAAAAAAAAACACCCAGAACAUGUCGGUUAAUGCACAACCGACGUCAACGGACGUCUGUCAAACGUUCCAGGACCUAUAGACGUCGCAUCUGGUCAAGUCAAACAUCUAUAUAAACGUCUAUUAUAACUAUCUCCGACGUCUAUGUAGACGUCGGCGAUGUACACAGCCGACGUGUACGUAGACGUCGGUUGUAUCCUAACAGACGUGUAAUUAACGUCCCUCGAAUAGACGUCGGUUCUAUAUGUGACGUUAAAAGCCCAAAAUAACCGACGUUAAACAGCAUUUUUCCACUAAUGUUAGUGUGAGAUGCAAUUAUUCUGAUUCUUUGUUUGAGUUUGCACUUGGCCUUGGUAUGUCCAGUCUUGCAAUAAUUUUUUUUGUUUUUAGUUUGUAAGAAAAAAUAUAAAAUAAAUAUUAGAAAACUAAAAUAAAUUAUUUCUGUUUUAAAAAAAAAAUAUUCCUCUAAGAGAUAUAUACUACAUAUUAGUAAGAUCUUCUCUAAUAUUAACCAACAAAGAAAUAUAGGUUUUGAAUAAUAGUUUUUUACUCUGAAAUUAAUGUCAAGAUCAAUGAUGGUAAAGCUCAAAUUACUUGUAUUCACUACAGAAAAAGUAGUCAUAACAAAUCUGUCUGCUUCAAGAAAUUAUACUAAACGCAUUUGCACACAUUGUGGAAGAAAUGGACAUUCAGAUGUGUGUUACAAGAAACUUGACUUCCCACAUGGCCACAAUUUUUUUAACAACAAAGUCAAUUGUGUCAAUAUUGUUAAAAAACGGUAACCCACACAAAUAAUUUUACUCUUCAAUCCAUUAUGGGUAUUUUUCAUUAAACCUUGCCAACCUUUAAAUAGGUGCAAAUCGGGCCUUGGGCCAAGUAUAAAUAAUUAAAACUGACAAUAAAAUAUCAAUUCACUUAAAAAUAAAAUUCGCUUAUUCUAUCAUAAAAUAAUAUUCUACCUAGAUAAACAGAAAAUCAUAACUACAGAUCCCUAUUUUAUCUCUAUCAAAUCAAACUAAAUAUUACUAGACCCAAAACUAAUAAAAUAAGAUUUAAACAAAAUUAUUAAUAAAACCCUAAAANNNNNNNNNNNNNNNNNNNNNNNNNNNNNNNNNNNNNNNNNNNNNNNNNNNNNNNNNNNNNNNNNNNNNNNNNNNNNNNNNNNNNNNNNNNNNNNNNNNNNNNNNNNNNNNNNNNNNNNNNNNNNNNNNNNNNNNNNNNNNNNNNNNNNNNNNNNNNNNNNNNNNNNNNNNNNNNNNNNNNNNNNNNNNNNNNNNNNNNNNNNNNNNNNNNNNNNNNNNNNNNNNNNNNNNNNNNNNNNNNNNNNNNNNNNNNNNNNNNNNNNNNNNNNNNNNNNNNNNNNNNNNNNNNNNNNNNNNNNNNNNNNNNNNNNNNNNNNNNNNNNNNNNNNNNNNNNNNNNNNNNNNNNNNNNNNNNNNNNNNNNNNNNNNNNNNNNNNNNNNNNNNNNNNNNNNNNNNNNNNNNNNNNNNNNNNNNNNNNNNNNNNNNNNNNNNNNNNNNNNNNNNNNNNNNNNNNNNNNNNNNNNNNNNNNNNNNNNNNNNNNNNNNNNNNNNNNNNNNNNNNNNNNNNNNNNNNNNNNNNNNNNNNNNNNNNNNNNNNNNNNNNNNNNNNNNNNNNNNNNNNNNNNNNNNNNNNNNNNNNNNNNNNNNNNNNNNNNNNNNNNNNNNNNNNNNNNNNNNNNNNNNNNNNNNNNNNNNNNNNNNNNNNNNNNNNNNNNNNNNNNNNNNNNNNNNNNNNNNNNNNNNNNNNNNNNNNNNNNNNNNNNNNNNNNNNNNNNNNNNNNNNNNNNNNNNNNNNNNNNNNNNNNNNNNNNNNNNNNNNNNNNNNNNNNNNNNNNNNNNNNNNNNNNNNNNNNNNNNNNNNNNNNNNNNNNNNNNNNNNNNNNNNNNNNNNNNCUAUCAAAUCAAACUAAAUAUUACUAGACCCAAAACUAAUAAAAUAAGAUUUAAACAAAAUUAUUAAUAAAACCCUAAAAUUUAAGUUUAUCCCACCAAAUAUCAAUGAUAAUAUACAUGAAGAGAAGCAAAGCAUGGUGGUGGUGAAUAGGACAUGCGUCUGACACAGCAAUAUCAAACUCUCCUCCCUCGUUUUAGAUCUAGAGAGGAAGGUGCUAAAAACUCUCAUUAAACAUCGUCACUUUUAAUCUAUUCCAGCCAAGUACACAUUUCGUAAGUUCUUCCCGUAUAAAAGAUAAAAGUAUGUGGAUUUUUUAUUCAAAAGCAACUGACCAUGUGUCUUGCUCUCUGAAAAAUUUCCUAUCAUAUAAAAUCAUCAAGAAUAUACAUGUGCAUCUUCCAAAUAAUUCAAAUGUUAUUACAACUCAUAUUAGCAAAGUCAAACUUAAUGGGAAACUUAUUUUAGAUUAUGUUCCAAAGAUUUUGAGAAUAACUUGCUCUCCAUUUCUAAGCUUGUCUAUGCUUUAAAUGUUGAAAUUGUAUUUUUUUCAUAUCAUGUGUUUGAUUCAGGAUUCCCACACAAAAUGGAGGAUUGGUUUAGCUAAAUCUCAGGUCAAGCUAUAUAUGUUUUCCAAUGUCGAGAAACUUUUGGUCCUUAAUGGGAAAUUUUCUUGUAAUUUUUUAAAAAUUUAUGGCGUGAUAGCUUAUGCCAAGCGCUCUCCUGGCCCAUAGCAACAUUUUCAAAUCCACCGGCAUCAUUAACCAAAGAUAUAAAACUUUUGUUAAUGUGAACACCAGCAUCAUGAUUCAUAUUAAGGGUGUGCUUCGCAUGCAUAUUAAGUAUUCGAUUACCAUGUAUGCGGUUGGAGUUAUUCGGACACGUGUCAUGGUUGUGUUCAUUAAUAACUGUUCUCACCUGCCAUCUUCCUUCUUUCAUAGCAAUUGUGAUUCCAGCAGGACAUUGAGUUUUUUGACUUGGCUGGGCUUUCCAUUCUCGAGCAAUGGGAGAUAGGUACUUCCCUUCCUUAGAGCACACUAAUUUCAUGAAGUUUAACUCGUUGUUCUUAUUUCUCCUAGAAGUCCUUAUCUGAACACCAAAACCGCAUCUCACAGCAUAAUUUGUAUAAAAACUCUUGACUUCUUCAAUUGUGUCAAACCACAUAUGAAUUUUAGGGACAUUAUCAUUGACAUUCUGAAUGGAAUUGUUGUUGACCUCACAAGUAACUUCUUCCAAUUACAUUGUGUGAAUAUUUUGUGACAACGAGAUCCAAUUCUUACACCUACUCCAAAAUCACAAGAACAUGAAAGGUAAAUGAAAGCAAACAUUAAAACAUUAUAACAACAAAAUUAGUUUUGCGAGACCACUAAUGUUCAUGACCAGAGAAAAUCAUAACCACAAUUGGUGUAUUUCCAUGUUCCAAACAUUAUUAUAAUAAAAAAAAAUAUUUUCAAUACAUCAUAAAAAAAAUGUAUAAUAUACAGUAUAACAUUUUAAAUCAGUGAAUUAUGAAAUCAGUGAAUGAUAUUAGAAAAAAUAAUAAUUAAAAUAUAAAGUUUGGCCUUUUUCUAUCCUCUCUCAGAUGACACAUAACUAUGGAAGACAUCUUAUCUGUAUAACAGCAACAUCUCUCCUUCUCGAAACAUACCCAACAAAUUAUAUUUACUUUCUUUAAAAAGUUGAAACAGUGAAGAAAAAACUAUUAUUAUUUUUUAAAUAGAAAAAUUAAAAAUUCCAAAAAAUGUUUUUAAAACAGUGUCCACCAAAAUAUUCCAUCUCUGAUUUCACUAACCUCUUGGGCUUCCCAUCUCACCUCCAUCGCUGUAACCUUUUUAAUAAACCCACAAAAACAAACGAAGAGGAAGAAAAAGAUAAAGAAAACAAAACAUUUGGACACAAAUAUUUUAAACGUUUUUUGGAGACAACACUUUCUCUUUCAUUUUGUUCACGUUAUCCUCUCUCAACAGAAACAAGUUCUAAUCUCAACCCCCCACCACACAGUUAUCCUCAUUCACAUCCUACUUACUUCAAAUUUCUAUUAUUUCCUUCAAUUUCAAGGAAGAUUAUAUUUUUCAACACUGACAACCUUUUCGUGAGAAAAAUACUGUAAUUAAAAAAAUAAUUUUUUUUAAUUGUUGAAAAAAUAAUGAAUAAAACUCCAUUUCAAGGAAUUAUGUAUGAUUAUAUUCGUUUGGAAAGUCCUACAACUAAAAUAUAAAUUAAAUUGUGCCUUAACUUGUAAUUAAGAUUCUCUCAUCUUAUAAUUUGUAGACAAGCAUGGAUCAAUAACAUCAGCUUUUACUAUUAUAUAAGAAUCGUGAAAUUAUAAGCAAAGAAUAAAAUCACUAUUUUCAUUUAAUAUACAUAUCUUUUCUUGCUUUGUUCUGGUUUAUGAGACUGCAAGUAUAAACUUUACAAUAUGCCAAGUCUUGGACUGUGAGCAUCAGGUCUUGUACUGUGAUCUAGAGAUGCCUUGAACCAGGAAUGUCAAUGCAAUUCAACUAGAGUUUCACCUCCCCACACAGUAAUUAUAACUAUUCUAAUUAAUCACAUAGGACAUAUAUAAUAGAAGCACAAGGGUCGAUACAUAUCACCUAAGCCUAAACCAUGCUCUUUGCCGUAAAUACAACAACCUCACAAAUAGAAUAGAUUUAGCGUUAGCAAACUUAUUUCAAUUUUUUAACACAAAAAUAGAAAGAAAAGACCUUAGGUACUCCGGCGGCAUUGCGGCAGCACUACGACAACACUGGGUGGUUGAAAGGAUUGAAGACGACACCGUCAAGGUUUUGCCUUCGAACGUCGACACUAAAGCGGCAGCACGGUGGUUGGGAGGAGAGAAGACGACGACGUCUAAGUUUUGCUUUCGAACGUCGGCACUGCGACGACACUUGGUGGAGGAAAGACAACACUCCGGCGGUGGGACUCCGGCGGCUGGUUGGAACGAGGUCGACUUUCUCACUUGACGGUGGAGGCUGAUUCUCUCUCAAAUUACCUAAAUCUGAAAAUUUCACAAAUAAACCCUAAUUUUGAAUCUCCUCCAAUUUUCUCCUUGCCACGUCAUCAGAUUAUUAUAAAAUGAAUUUCCAUGUGGACGAAUGAAAUUUGGACACCUGGACUGUGUCUAAAUGUUGUUAAAAUAUGUUGUUCAUAUAUCAUUAUCCUAUUUGUUAUGAAAGAAUAUUGUAUAGAGACCAACAAUAAUUAUAAUUUGUUGAAGGGCCAAAUUCUAAUUAAUGAAAGGUUUAAUGUCACUUUAAGUUCUUAUUUUGUGUAGAAUCUCAAAUAGGUUCUUUUCUUUUUCGGCGUCUCAAUUGUGUCCUUAUUUUUGUAAAAUUGGAUCAAAUAAAGACUUUCCGACAAAAUGAUCAAACACCGUUAAGUAGGGUGUUACGUGACAUGCUGAUGUGACUGAAUUGUGUUUUUUUAAUUUUUGAAUUGAAAAUGAAGGGUAAAGUUGGAAAUGAAAUAAAAUUAAUUGUUGAAAGGGAGUGUUCUCUUUUCCCCUCUAUUAACUAUUCUUAGUGCAUCUCUUCUCCUUCGAGGUCCAGUAGACACCACCAUACCUAAAAUCCUCAAAAAAUCACGUUUCCCUUUUUGUCCAUACAAUGAUUCCUCCAAAACCAGCUUUCCCAAAAUUCUCCAUGAUUCCAAUUUCAUCUUCCAAUCUUCAUCCCAUUACCAUUCUUCUUUUCAAGUAAAACUCUCAAACCUCUACACAACAAUCAUCCAUCAUCAUAACUUUAUCUUCUUUCACCAAAUUUACAAAAGAAACCCCAAAUUCCAGAACAUAAUACCUUCAUCUUCAACUCCCAUAAACAAAAUUCAUUUUCUUUCUUUAAUUUUUUUCUCACACACACAACAUGAAACACCACAUCCCCCUAAUAAUUUUCUACAAUUGUCCACUAUAACAACCACGGUUAAUCACUUCCAAACAACAAUAAUACAAAUCAAAAACUAAACUUUAAAGAAGAAAAUGAAAGGGGAUCCUCUCUCGGAUUUAUAGCAAAUUAAAGAAAGAGUUCUAGCAAAACUUGGAGAGGCGAAGCAACAUUCCUCUAUUGCACUCUAAUCUGGAAGUAUAAAGGAGAAGCGGCAGCGGUGGCACGUUCUUACUCCGAUGGUGGCUCGCGUGGGGAAAGAAAGAAGCUGGAACAACGGUGUGUGGUGGCACUUCCAAUGCGGAGGGCGUCGCCGGUGAUGAUUUUGGCCGGCUGGAGAGAGCCACAACGGUACUGGUUCGGUGGAGGCAGGGGUUGUCGUGGAAGGGAGUGAAGGAGAGACUCUAAGCUCUCUAAUCCUUUUGUAGGAUUUAACAAUAUUGAAUAACACAACAUAUUCCAAUAGAGACAUCCUUUUGGAAGUUAUGUGUUUGUGGGACCAUGGUAGAGAAUGCCAAUGCCUUGGAGUUUAGAAUUGAUCAAAAGUUGAAUGACAAGAUUUCUAGUAUUAAAAGGAAGCACAACAAGCAUGAUAAAAAUGUCUUCAAAAGGGGUUAAAUCAAGUGUUAUAAGAUGUUCCAAAUGUAAAGGUUAUCCAGAUGAAACUCAUCAAUGUCCUAAUUGGAUUGCAAGUUCAAUAACUAAUGAAGACCUCAAGAACUAGAUUCUAUAUUUGAAAAAGGAAGAAGAAAAGACUUUGCAAAAAUUAGACGCAUUAAAAAGAAGAGAAAAACGAAAGCUUAAAAUAGCACAAGAAUAAGAAGCACUUAUAGAAAUGGAAGAAAGAGAAAAUAAAGGAAAAGAAGAGAAAGAAAAGAGACAGGAAGAAGAAAGAGAAGAGAUAGAAAAAGAAGAGAAAGAGAAGAGAGCGAGAUAGGAGAAAGAAAAUAAAUAAAUAAAGGAGAAAGAAAAAGAAAGUGAGGAUGACAAAAAAGAAGAGAGAAAAAAAAAGAGAAAAAGAAGAAAAAGAAAUGAGAGAAAAAGAAAAGACCAUUUACUUUUGUCAUUAAAAGAAAAUCCUAACUCAUCUUUUCUUGUUUUUUUGUCUAAGAAAGAUUUGUUUAUCAAGAAAUCAUGGAAUCAACCAUAAAAGGAAGACAUGGUGCAACAAAGGAAGACACAAAUUUAGAACUCAAAAAACCUGUUUGAUAUAAUCUGAUAGCUUGUUUGUUAAUUUAUUUAGAUAUUCAAAGUUAUUCUUUUAGUAUGGAAACAAGCUUAGGACUAUAAGCACAUGAUGUUGUUUGACCAUUUCUAAACAACUUAUGGAUAAUCAAAUCCAUACUUAUUUUGAUGGUUUACUGAAGAAAUAUUCUUUUGAUUUUCUUUUAGUAUUGCAUCUUUAAUUUAAAAUUGUUUGAUGAUUUUUACAUGUGGAUAUUUUAUCCUAGAGGCAGACCUCAAAACCUUUGAUAAUAAGAUAUUGGUCUCUUUAGAAUCCAAAUAUCAAAUAUUUCUAUAUUUGAUUAUUUUAGAUUUAUGUCUUUAAUUUAUCUUUGUGUUUGUGCAUACGAUCUUCUAGAAUUCAAGUUGAAUUCUCUUUAAACUGGGGAGAAUGAUAAGGAAUCUUCAAGUUAUACGAAUUUGAGCACAAAUUCUUUUCAAGAAUGAGCGUAUGAUAGAAGACUAUCACUUGAACAUGUAUGAGAAAAACUUAAGGAAAAACAUUUGCAAUUCAAAGGAUUUAUGAUAAGGUCAAAGAUCAAAACACGUCGUUUUCAGACUUAUAAUGUUUCAUGAAGAAGGAAACUUAUAAUGUUCUAUAGAGGAGGAAACUUAAAGAACAUGAAAAUGUAAAUUAGGAAAUUAAAUACAUUUUAAUUUUAUAGAACUUUAAAUUCGUUGGAUGAGUUAGUUUAUGUCUGGUGCGGUGAGCGGGCCUUGGUAGACGAAAUUAUGUGUCUGUUAUUUGGGUGUUACUCUCUCCAUCACCGCAAAGACUUCCUGCACCUCCUAUUUUUUUUUUGUCCUUCAGUUUAAACGCAUGUGAAUAUAUGUUUGUUUCUUAAACACAUAUUAACCUCCAUACAUGGAUAUCCGUACACGAAUAUCGCAUAAUAUCGCAUAAACGGUGACCAAAAACUUCUUCUUUAUCUCUCGCUCGCUCUCACUCUGUCUGUCUAUUUUUUUUUCUUCUAUAAAUGUAUGUGAGUGAAGUAUCGAAGGCCAAAUAUAAAAUAAGCUAAAAAGGGAAAAAAGGAGAUGAAGCGAGCGAGGGGUUUCUAGAGAGAGAAACAACGAAUCUGAAAUUGUGAAGAGAGAGAACAGGUUUGAUUACGAGGAGAGAGAUACAAUUUGUUUCACUGUCACGUUUAUUUUGUAGAUAACUAUUCCAUUCAGCUAACUGGUGGAAUGGGUAUGAUAAAACCUAAUCUUAAUGUUCUAGGUACUCUAUUCUUGAUUUAAUUCUUCGUGCAAUUGAAGCACUUUCUGUUUUGGAUCAGGAAAAUUGCUCAAGUACAGAGCUGUUUCAACUAAUAUGUGAUCUGGUUAAGUUCCCAGAUAAAGUUGAGGUACAUUGUUAUUGUUAACACUUUCAAUACUAAUACAUAUUUCACAACAUUAACUUUUGAUAUCAAUGAAGGAAUAUAUCUCCAUAAGAAAAGUCGUUGCAUAGUUGGGAAAGUGUAGGGUAUUUUUGGAAUAAAAAAAUAGUGAUGAGGUGUAAGGAGCACUUAGAGUGGUGGAAGAAACAACACCUUUGUUAUUUUUAUGUGUUUUAGACUUUAAACUUUAUUUUAGGAUUUACAGGUUUUUCUAAACUUAUGUGGUUAUAUAUAAAGGUAAACAAUUUUAUAUGUCUUAGCUUUGAAAUAUAUUUGUAUUAUUUGAGAAAGAUAUAUUUAACUUAUCAAUAAGUUAAAUUGUGACGUUCUUUAUUUUUUUUAUUAGGCCUACUUUUCUGAGUUAUUUUUACUAUACUUUUAAGAAUUCAAAUUAAAAAAGAUUGUACUUCUUCUAAAAGGAUUAUAUAAUUUUUGAAGCUAAAUUUUUCAUUGAAAGAGCAUGAAAGAGCAUCAGCAACUCCAUACAUGUCUAAAAGGGUGGAAACGCGUUCUUGCCAGCGUCGAACGUCCGGAAGUGAUUUUGCGAAGACUGUCUGGGUUCCAGGAACAAUGGUUGGAUUCUCCGAAAGCAUGUUGUUGGUUUGGUUCUCCGAAGGCAUGUUGUUGACGUCAGCCAUAAGUCCUUAAGAUUGUUGUAAAAAGGCUGACAGAAUCACGAACAAAAUUUAUUUCCUAAGGCGUGUAGAGUCACUGUCCUUAAGGACUUAUCCGCGAUGUGCGCAAGUCCCCUAAGAUACAACAGGACCUUCUCAGAAUAUUUCUGAGGAUCUCAAAACUAGCAAGGAACUCUUAAAAGAGUAUAAGAACAACCCAGAAUAUUUUAGAAUAUUUUAGAAGAGAGAAAAGAGCUAGAGAAUAAAACUCAGAAAAGAGAAGAAUGAGAAGAAUGAUUUUUGGUGUGUCUUAGAAUGGAGGAGGAGCUCCCUAUUUAUAGAGCUAGGGAAGAAUCAAGAAAAUAAAAGAAAUUAAAAGUCAUAAAUAAUUUAAUUAAAACUUGGACGUUGCUUAAUAAUUCCAAAUUAUGAAAGGAAUGAACGUUGCAACAUUUUAAAUGAAUUAAACGUUGUUACUUGAACGUACAAAAAUUUCAUUACCCAUUAAUAGAAAUAACGUUGCAAACGGUUUCACUUUUGCAAUAAUAAUAAAAUAUUAUAACAAAAAGGAAUUCCAGUAAAGAAAGUAAAGAAAGUAAAGAAAAUGAUACACUAGAUGAAAAUUUCAAAAACCGAGUUCCUACUUUCAAACACAUACUUUUAUUUAUUCCUAAACUCUAAAUCUUAAAGAAAAAAUAUUAAGGAAAAAGUCUCUUAACAACUCUUUUUUGACAAUUUUUUGACAACGUGACAAUUCUAUGAUUGGUCCGUUUCAAAUAUUUUUUUAAACAUAAAUUCAAACAGACCAAUAAAAUGAUGACACAUGUCCUGUUGUUAAAAAACUGUUAAAAAAAAGUUGUCAAAAUAUGUUUGUCAAAUAUCAAACCUCUCUUAAUAGUUUGUCCAUAAACCAAAUUCUAGAUAGGUUUCAUGACAGGAAUUAUAAAAUGAAAAAGGUUAGAGAUUUAGUUUCAGGAAAGUCGUAUUCGCAAAUGGGGGUGUUAUCCCCGAAAAAUGACUAUUAUUUGUGAAAAAAAAAAUCACCUCUAGCCCUCAAUUCACCAUCUGGCUUCACUUUUGUCAACAUUGUUUUAACAGAAAGCUAAUAAGAAUAUAUUUAAACGUAAGAACGCUUGACUUUGGCUUUCAGAAGCUGUAAAAUAUAGGGUGACGAAGAGACAGAGAGAAGAGACAAGAGAUAGGAGCCGAGAGAGAGCCUUCAUUUCAAGGCUCAUUAAUUUUUAUGAUUUUUAAAAAUUACAACUACGCUUAAAAAACAAAUGAAAUAGAGUAAAUUAAAUUAUAUUGUUGAAAUUUUCUAGGACGAUGCUGACAUUUACAGUUUCUCUGUCUUUUAUAAUGACUUUGCUUUUGUCAUGAUAUAUACAGUCUUUUAAAUUUCAUAUGUAGUCAUGAAUUGAGACUGUAAUAUAAUUUAGAUUUAUAUUUGAAUUUCCAAUACUUGAGUCUAUCCUAAAAUUAUAUUAAAUUUAUAUGAAAUUAGUAUUAUUUGUGGAAAAAAAAAUUACCUCCAGCGUGGAUUAAUCCAUUGUUGCUUGACUUUUGUAAAAGAAUGUACCACAUUUAAAAAUUGAGAAAAAGCCAAAACUUAAAAGUAAGAAGCUUUGAAAUAAAGAUGUGGUGAAUUUUAUAGAUCAUAUAUUUUUGAAAAAGUGAGCGUAUAAGGUGUAGCUUUGGAGUAGUAUAAAAGAGGUGUUAUAUAUGGUUGAUUGAAGCAUAAAUAAAACUGGUAGGUUAUGAAAAAGAAGAUGGGUAACUGUGGGACGCUAGUUUUGUUGGUUAUGCUACUGAUUUCGACUUUCUUCUUUCUCUUCUAUAAGCAAAUUUAUCUCGAGUUGAGUAUCUUUUUAGUAUUUCUUACCAUAGAUUCAAUUAUCAUUGAUUAACAUUAUUAGACACAAAAGCAUAUAUUUAUUCUUUUAUUUAUGAAAAGCAAAAUCUUACAGGUCAUGUUGUCAAGCUAGAUCUCAGAAAUCCUUGUUAUCCCUUACAAGGAGAUUUUCAACCAAACUGUAAGUUUUACGAUCAUGUCCUCGAAGCUCAACAUCUUCACCCUUCUAUAUUGCAGCUUAAAUAUCUAACUUAUUUAGAUUUGAGUGGAAACAUAUUUCACAAUACUUCAAUACCAGCGUCCAUUCAAACGCUGCAGCAUCUGCAAUUCCUUUAUCUCUCUGAUAGUCAGCUUAGUGGUAGGAUCCCAUACAAUCUUGGGAAUCUCACUAAAUUGCUCAUUCUUGAUUUGAGCUUCAAUCAUCAUCUGUAUGCGAAUGACUUCUACUGGAUUUCUCAACUUUCAUCCCUCCAAUACCUUUAAAUGAGUGAUGUGAAUCUUGAUAAAGCUCAAAAUUUGUUGCAGUCACUCAACAUGCUUCCUUCUUUGAUAAAAAUAGAUUUGAGAAAUUGUGGACUUGAUAAAUUGAACAACCUGUUAGCAUUUAUUUUAAUUAGAAUAAAUAUUAUAGCAUUUUAAGUUUCUAGUUUUAAGGAACAUAAAGUGGUCCAUUAAGCCAAUUAUAUUUAUCCGUUUUAACUGCAUAGAGGUUUUGGAGCAGUUAUUAUAUUGUUUAAAGGUAAAGCUCAGCCCAUUAUUUUUAAACCUGUGAUGGCCAGACUUUAUAUAAAGGAAAUAGGUUACUCUCAGUUUUGAUCACUAAGCCUACUUCUCUAUUAAAAAAAACACACCAUCGAGUUUGAGUGAGUUAAGGUUUAGAAAACAAAGUUGUAUCUGUGUUAGGAUUACAAAAUUGCAAUGGCAGGAGGUACGCACAUUAUUGCACAUUAUUUUUUCAUUAUUGCUUCCGUUGUUCUUGAUCUGAAUAUGUUACUAUUAAUAUAACAUGUUUAGAUCAAUUUUACUCUGCUCUAUACUUUUAUCAUUUGGUAUUAGAGCCUCCUUAUUCAUCUGCCUUGCAUGUUUUCGUUGAUUUGGAUUUUUGAUUUAUGGACUUUAUUAUUUUGAUCCUUUUAAUCCAAACAAAAUUCUCAAAUUAACGUUAAAAACUGAUUACAAUUUUUUUUGUAAUCCUAAACGGAGCUUUUAUGUUUAAAAGCGAAAAUAAAAUUAAAAUUGGAUCAAGAGGAUCCGUCUAAAGCCGAUGAACGUUCUUUCUGUCUCUCUUUUCAGGAUUUUGAAAAGAUCCUUUUGCUUUUCUUCAUCUCUUUAAUAUAAAGAGGAAAUCCUGUUUUUGCGUUUUAGUUUUGGGUCAAUUCAUGACCUAUUUCAAUAUUUGUUAUUUUUCAACCCUGCGUGUCUCUCAUCAUCCUUCCCCUCUAGGAAAUUUGUAGGCUUGGUAAAAGACAAUUAAUCUUUGAACGUGAUAUAUAUCUGUUUAAAUGUUUUUGGAUUAAUAGUUAUGUAUAUUUUAUGGAUAUUAUUUGUAUGUAUAUUUUUGUUAUUAUACGUGCAAAUAUGUGCAUUAUUAUUAAUAUAUUUGCAUAUUAAGAAUUUUAUGUAAAUAUUUAUAUAUUAUUAAUGUUUUAGUAGUAAUAUAGUUUUAAUAGAUUAAAGAGUAGCCACAACAUCUUUAAUCAAUUAAAAUUGUAUAUAAAGUUUUGAUAGAUGAGAAACAUUAGUAGUAAAUAAUUAUAUUUAAUAUGAUAAAAUCUACCCACAGGAAUUUUUUCAUAUUUAUAUGAUUAAUUAAGAUAAAAUAUUAAAUUAUAUUUCUUAAUUUUGCCCACAAGAAUUAAGAAAAGGAACAUAAUUUGAUAGUUUUAUCAUUAAGAGAAUGAGUCUAAUUGAGUAAGACUUUAGCCCACAUGCAAGUUUUAUGUUAAUAGACUCAUUGGUAAAGACAUGUUUUGCAUUGGUGAAACAUGACAUAUAAUUUGAUAAUUUUAUCAUUAAGAUAAUGUGUUUAAUUGAGUAAGACUUUAGCCCACAGGCAAGUUUUAUGUUAAUAAACUCAUUGGUAAAGACAUGUUUUGCAUUGGUAAAACAUGACAUUUAUUUUAGUCUCAAAUUAUACAUUAAGCAUGUAAUUUUGAAUCUGCAGUUUCUCAAUCUGUGAAUUUUUUUGAUAUCAAGUGUGGUAUUCCCGAGUUGAAAGGAGAUAAUUAUAAGGUUUGGAAGGAAAGAGUUCUUCUUCAUUUAGGCUGGAUGGACAUUGACUAUGCUAUUAGAAAACCAGAACAACCAGUAUUAAUGAGACCAGCACUCAAGAUGAUAUUGAUCUUUAUGAAAAAUGGGAGAGGUCAAAUCGUCUCUCCAUUACGUUCAUAAAAACCAAUAUUUCCGCUGGGAUCCGUGGUUUAGUUGACCAGUAUGAGAAUGUCAAAGAUUUACUAAGGGCUAUUGAUGAGCAGUUUACGACAUCCGAUAAAUCUCUUUCCAGCACCCUUAUAAUGCGGUUUUCAUCCUUAAAGCUUAUUGGAAUUAAGGGAGUGUGUGAUCAUAUCAUGUGCAUUAGGGACAUUGUGGCUCAACUGAAAACUUUGGAAGUUAUUAUGUCUGAUUCUUUCCUGGUACAUUAUAUUUUGUGCACUUUGCCUCACAUAAAGAUAAAUGGUUUAUUAAUGAAUUAUUGACCAUGUGUGUUCAAGAAGAAGAAAGGCUAUUAAUAGAAGAAGGGGAGAGGGUGAACUUGACUACUUCUUUUGAGAAUAAGAACCAAGUUAAUAGGAAGGGAAAUAUUCCUGCUAAGCCAGUUAUUAAGAAGGAGCCCAGUUGUUUCUUUUUGUAAAAAGAAAGGACACAUGAAGAAAGACUGCUUAAAAUUUAAGAAUUGGCUUAAUAAGAAAGGGUAAGCAAAACCUAAGGAGGCCAGUGGGAAGUGAGCAAUAUAUCUACUCAGAGAGUAAGAUGAGUUCACAUGUGGAGGUCAUUGGAACGUGCAGUUUAGUUUUAAGUAGUGGUUUUGUUUCGAAUUUGGAAAAGACAUUUUAUGUUCCUUGUUUUUCUAAGAAUUUGAUUUCUAUUUCACAACUUAUACCUUUGGAUUUUUCAUUUAAUUUUUCAGAUUCUGGUUUUACCUUAAUGAAUAAAUCUAAAGUUGUUGGUUUUGGUAAAUUAUGUGAUGGUCUUUAUUCCAUUAUUUUGCAAAACAAUAUCACUUAUGAUUUUAUGCACGUUACUGCCGGGUUAAAAAAAGAUGUGUUAUGAAUGAGAGUUCUUCUAUUUUAUGGCAUCGUAGAUUGGGACACAUCUCCAUUGAGAGAAUUAAGCGAUUAGCCAAUGAAGGAGUACUUAGUACUUUGGAUUUUACUGAUUUUGAGAUUUGCGUGGAUUUCAUAAAGGGUAAGCGAACUAACAAGUCUAAAAGAGGUGCUAAGAGGAGAUCAAGUUUACUAGAAAUUAUUCAUACAGAUAUUUGUUGUCCGGAUAUGGAUGCUAGUAGUCCGAAAUGCUUCAUCACCUUUAUAGAUGACUACUCACGUUACAUGUAUCUCUACUUACUUCGUUCUAAGGAUGAAGCUUUGGAUGCCUUUAAAAUUUUUAAGGCUGAAGUUGAGAUACAAUGCGGAAAGCAAAUCAAGAUUGUGAGAUCAGAUAUAGGUGGAGAGUAUUAUGGUAGAUACACGAAGAAUGGACAUGGUGAGAAAUAUGAGGAGUAAUUCAAAACUUCCUCAACUCUUGUGGACUGAAGCAUUAAAGACGGCUGUGUAUAUAUAUUAAACCGAGUCCUAACCAAGGCUGUCCUAAAGACACCGUUUGAGUUAUUCAAAGGUUGGAAACCAAGUUUGCGACAUAUACGCAUUUGGGGAUGUCCGUCUGAAGUGAGAAUUUAUAAUCCACAAGAGAAGAAACUAGACCCAAGGACUAUUAGUCGUGGCUAUUUCAUUGGAUAUGCUGAAAAGUCUAAGGGAUAUAGAUUCUAUUGUCCAUCGCAUAACACUAGGAUUGUGGAGUCAAUAAAUGCAAAAUUUCUUGAGAAUGACUUGGUUAGUGGGAGUGAUCAAUUUCCAAACAUUGGGAAUGAAAGGGAUCACUAUGAAGCUCAACCCUCUAGCUCAAGUGAUAGAUUGGUUGUCAUUCACACCCCUCAAACACAAAUGGGUGUUAGACAAACAAUAAUUGAAGCUUCACAACUUGCUGAAAAUGACCUUACAGAUCAAGUUGCUAAUGAGGAACAAGUUGAACAACCUACUGAACAGUUGCUUGGCAACAAGUUCCUCAGGAAAAUGAUGAGGCAACAUUCAGAAUAUCUACUAGAGUUAAAAGGCUAGCAAUUCCUAGUGAUUAUAUAGUGUAUUUGCAAGAAGUUGACUACAAUGUUGGAGCUACAAAUGAUCCUGAAACGUUUUCACAAGCCAUGAGUUCUAAAGAAUCAAACCUAUGGCAUUAGUAGCUCAUUUUGAUUUUGAGUUACAUCAAAUGGAUGUGAAAACAACAUUCCUUAAUGGUCGUUUGGAAGAAGAAGUUUAUAUGAAACAACCAGAAGGAUUCUCUUCUAAAGACAAUAAGCAUUUAUUUUGCAAGCUUAAUAAAUCUAUCUAUGGAUUAAAACAAGCCUCCCGCCAAUGGUAUCUAAAGUUUCAUGAUGUUAUCACUUCAUUUGGUUUUGAAGAAAAUGUCAUGGAUCAAUGUAUAUACCAAAAGGUCAGUGGGAGCAACAUUUGUUUCCUUGUUUUAUACGUGGAUGAUAUUUUGCUUGUAACCAACGAUAAGGGUUUGCUAUAUGAAGCGAAACAAUUUCUCUCAAAGAACUUUGACAUGAAGGAUAUGAGAGAGGCAUUUUAUGUCAUUGGCAUUAAGAUCCAUACGGAAAGAUCUCGGGGCAUUUUGGGUUUGUCUCAAGAGACUUAUAUCAACAAAGUUUUAGAGAGGUUUAACAUGAAGAAUUUUUCACAAAGUGUAGCUCCUAUCAUGAAGGCUGAUAAACUCAAUUUGAAUCAAUAUCCAAAAAAAAAUGAUUUUGAGCGGGAACACAUGAAGAAUAUUCCAUAUGCUUCAGCUUUUGGAAGUCUUAUGUAUGCAUGGGUUUACAUUAGACCUGACAUUGCAUAUGUUAUUGGAGUUUUGGAAAGAUAUUAGAGUAAUCCAGGUGUUGACCACUGGAAAUCUGCAAAAAAGGUAAUUAGAUAUCUUCAAGAAGGUAAUUCGUUUCUUGUUUUGAGACUACCUCGCAUGGUGUAUGGUUGAAGAGUUUCAUUUUUGAGCUUAGAGUUGUGGACUCUAUUUCUAGGCCAUUAAGGUUGUACUGUGACAACUCUGUUGCGAUGUUUAUGGCUAAGAAUAAUAAAAGUGGAUGUCGAAGUAAGCACAUUGACAUCAAAUGCUUAGCCAUCAGAGAACGUGUUAAGGAAAAGAAAGUGGUCAUUGAACACAUAAACACUGAGUUGAUGAUUGCUGAUCCUUUAACUAAAGGCAUGCCACUAAAGAAUUUAAGGAUCAUGUAGUGCAAAUGGGACUUGGUUCCAUGAUGUAAUUUCAUUAUCAGUAUAUUUGUUAUUUUCAAUGAAACUCUUAUUCAGUUUGAUGUUCUUCUCAUAUGUUUUGUGCACAUUUAUUCUGAGAAGAUAUCAUUUAGUUUUGAUCUAGCAUAAAUAUAUGGUUUAUGCAUUAAGUUGAGAGCUAAUGUUGAUAGAAAUAUAUAUUGUGGUACAUGGAAGAUAACACUCACUAUCAGAGGACCUAUCGCCAUGACUCGUAUAUAUUAUGUCACUUGUUGUGGUUAAUAAUUGGAUAAUGGACCAAGUGGGAGAAUGUUAGCAUUUAUUUUAAUUAUAGAAUAAAUAUUAUAGCAUUUUAAGUUUCUAUUUUUAACAAACAUAAAAUAGUCCAUUGAGCCAAUUAUAUUUAUCAUUUUUAACUGCAUAGAGGUUAUGGAGCAGUUAUUAUAUCGUUUAAAGGUAAAGCCCAACCCAUUAUUUUUAAACCUGUGAUGGCCAGGCUUUAUAUAAAGGGAAUGAGUUACUCUUAGUUUUGAUCACUAAGCCUACUCCUCUAUUCAGAAAAACACAUCAUCGAGUUUGAGUGAGUUAAGAUUUAGAAAACAAAGCUGUCUCUGUGUUGGGAUUACAAAAUUGCAAUGGCAGGAGGUACGCAUGUUAUUGCACAUUAUUCUUUCAUUAUUGCUUCCACGGUUCUUGAUCUGAAUAUGUUACUGUGAAAUGUUAAUAUAACAUGUUUAGAUCAAUUUUAUUCUGCUCUAUACUUUUAUCACAAAAUUAAUUAUAUUUGUUAAUCUGCAAAUGAAAUAAAAGUAUUCUUCUCCUAGAAGUCAAUAUCAAAAAGAUGUAUUUGUUGCCUAAAAUUAAUUACACAACCACAAAGAAUAUUCAAAAACUAAUUCAGGCAUUAUCUAGAGCUUCCUAUUACAAAAGAAAAGGAGAAAAAAAAGAAGGUAGACCCUCAAAAUAGCCAAAACCAUCAUCGGUUCAAUAACUUGAAGUAUGUGGUCUGUCCUCCCGUGCCUUAACUCUUUCCAUCUAAAUACAUUUCUCAUAUAACCUCCUUCAACGUACCAUCCUCCUAAUGAAACCUAGCAAUACUAUUAUUAUAUACUUCUAACUCAUACCUUUCUUAUGAUUAAGUUUGAGCUUAACUUACAUCUACCACAGAAUCAUAAAUAUUUCGGCUUUAAAUUGGCCAUCCUAGGUUCUUUCGGAAUACCUCAUUAGGAUAAUAAAAAAAAAUCUGCAGAUAAAAUUCAUCAUUGAUAAUCGAUACAUUCAGGCAUUUAUUACACAUAAAUAUUUUAAUAUCUAUUAAUAAAUGGAUUGAGUACAAAUAUUAUACUAUCAUUAUUCAUAAAUGUUUGUUAUUUGUAAAAAAUUAAAAUUAAAAUUUAAUUUAUAUUUUAUUAAAUUAAAUUUAAUUAAAAUGAAAAUUAAUUUAUUUUUUAUUAGGUUAAAUUUAAUUAAAAUUAAAUUUUAAUUAAUAUUUAAUUUAAUUUAUAUAAUAUUUUAUAUACUUUUUCUAAUUUUAUUUUAAAAAUAUUAUAAAGAUAUAUUUUGUUAAACAUUUACAAGAAUCCAUAAAUUUUAAAAUAGCUAUCAAUAUUUUUUAGACAAAUAUCCUUCUGACACACAUUGCAACGACAACUAUGUUUAAAAGUCUAGGAAUGUUAUUUCUAUAUAUGUUCGGAGUGGGAAUGGAGUAAAUAGGUUCUCCCGUGUGUUGCUGGAAUCUGAAAAGUUUAGGGUUUUUGUUAUCUUAAUUUUGAAAAUAAAGAGAUCUGUUAUAAUUAUAACUAAUAUUAAAAGUUUUUUUAUUAUUAUAAAAUGUCAUUGCAUAAUCUAGAAGACUAUUAACUCAUUUGUAAUUCUUUCAACUUCUCACUUAUCAUACUUGUAGAUUUCAACUAGUAUAAAAACUAGUUAUAAAAAAAUAUUUUUAUAAUAGUGAUACAGUGAAUCUUUAACUCAAAAGAAAAUACAUGGAUAAUUUUAAUAAUGAUGUAUUUCAAAAACUAAGCGUAACUUGUUCGAUAAGGAAGAUGAACAAGUAGUAUAAAAGGUGUUAUGGUUGUGUUUUGGUUCAUUGAACAUUAAUAAAACUGGUGAUUAAGAUAAGGAAGAUGGCAUAUUCUUCUGGGACGCUAGUUUUGUUGCUUAUACUACUCACCGUCUUCACCCCAUCAACACUUGCUGAGUUGAGCAGUGAAGCUUCACCUCUGCAACAUAUGAAGCCAUAUCCAAGCGGGAAUCUUCCUGACAUACCUAUCCCGAAGUUUGGCAUCCCUCGCUCUCGUCCUAGGCCGCCACCAACAGACACACCUGUGCAGAGUCAGUUUGAGCCUCCCAUCCGUAUCCCGGUGCCUGGAACCGCUCGCCCUCGUCCUAGGCCGCCACCAACACACUAGGUGCCCUAGGCUUACCCUUCUACUAUUUUCUCAUCUUCACCAUACAAAUAAACAUCUUCACUUUCUUCUCUCUUCUAUAAGAAAAUUGUCUCAUCAAUUUUUGUAAUCUCUUUUGUUUGUUUCAUGAUGUGUAAGAUUUAAAUUAUUUUUAUUUAUGAGAAGCUUUUUAUCAAGAGGAAUCCAUACCAAAACUAACCAACUAAUUACCAACUUUCAAUUUCAUAUCAUCCUGUAGAAAAAUAAUUAAAGUGAUAAUCAAUUUAUAAAUUACUAAUUUUUGGUUAAUCUUAAUGUGCUUAUAGGUUUAAUAGCUGAUUAAAUCAGUAUGUUAUAUUACCCUCUUCAUGGUACACACAUACUUGUUUCUUCCUUCAUAAAAGUGAGAAGGGUUGGUUGAUUACUUUCUAAGGCUAGGGUUUUGUAUGUAACAGAAAAGGUGGUUGUUUUGUUCUAGCUUUUAAAUUUUUCACAUACAAAAAAUUUGCCUUGAUCACUUCCAUGCCAUUCAUGGUUAAUGGAUUGUCAAAAAUUGAACACAAAACCAAUGACUAAUUCACUUGGGUGCUUUAUUCAUUUUUCCAAUUUAUCUUUCUCAGUCUCCUCUUAUGAACCAACCUCAGUGUUGGUGUUGUUGCUUAGGUCCUCCUAUUUUGGUUGUUAUGGUUGUUGCUACUCCGCUUCUGCUGCACUAGCCUCCCCUAUUGGAAGGGACUGUCCCCAAGCCAUCGUUUUUUAACACCUCCUCCUUGAUAGUCUCAUCAUGAAUUUCUCAGGGGUCAUACAUUAUAGUGGUUAGUGCUGUUGUUGUUCUUAGGCAAAGUUGAACAAAAUUUGAUGGAGGGCUAUCUGGUGUUGGUAAAUGUAAAAGGAACGUGUGCUAUGUCAGAAAAAAAAAAAAAAAACACAUCAAAUAGCCAUGCUUUUAUUAACUCUUUUUCCUAAUUCGGGUCACCGUAACCUACCUGCAAUUUGGUUCUGGGAAGCCAAAUUUUGAUGGGGUUUUGAAUUUUUUGUGGUCUCUGUGUGCUGUAUUUGCAUUUGGAGGUCGGAAUUGGAGAACUAAGUUCCAACCUGUCUGUUUUUUUGUUGCUUUUUUUCAUCGUAAUGCGUUUUUUUCAGAAGACCGAAUUUUGGAAAUGGGAUUUGUGAAUCAUGUGAAAGGGGGAGAAGCUUGACAGAAAAAAAAAAUUAAUGUAUUUGAUCCAAAAUUUUAAUUUAAGAAAAUAAUUAAAAUUUUGUGGAAUAAUUUUUAAUUGAUUUGAAGGAGG